UCCCUUGUAGCUCAGUCGGUAAAGAAUCUGCCUGCAAUGCAGCAGACCCGGGUUCAAUUCCUGGGUUGGGAA
rnacentral:tRNA from 1 species